rnacentral:rRNA from 1 species
CGUACUCCUGCGGGAGGCAGCAGUGGGGAAUAUUGCACAAUGGGCGCAAGCCUGAUGCAGCCAUGCCGCGUGUGUGAAGAAGGCCUUCGGGUUGUAAAGCACUUUCAGCGGGGAGGAAGGCGAUACGGUUAAUAACCGUGUUGAUUGACGUUACCCGCAGAAGAAGCACCGGCUAACUCCGUGCCAGCAGCCGCGGUAAUACGGAGGGUGCAAGCGUUAAUCGGAAUUACUGGGCGUAAAGCGCACGCAGGCGGUCUGUCAAGUCGGAUGUGAAAUCCCCGGGCUCAACCUGGGAACUGCAUUCGAAACUGGCAGGCUUGAGUCUUGUAGAGGGGGGUAGAAUUCCAGGUGUAGCGGUGAAAUGCGUAGAGAUCUGGAGGAAUACCGGUGGCGAAGGCGGCCCCCUGGACAAAGACUGACGCUCAGGUGCGAAAGCGUGGGGAGCAAACAGGAUUAGAUACCCCGGUAGUCCCAUG